GGAAGUGUGCCCGAACAGCUAUAAGGACUACUUUGAUAGAGUACUAUAAAGAGGUUAAAAUCCUCUCACUUCCU
rnacentral:tRNA from 1 species